rnacentral:hammerhead_ribozyme from 1 species
AUUCGGCUGACGAGUCCCAAAUAGGACGAAACGCGUCUCCUGGAU